rnacentral:rRNA from 1 species
GACGAACGCUGGCGGCGUGCCUAACACAUGCAAGUCGAGCGGAGAUGUACUGAAGAUUUAUCGGAUGUACAUCUUAGCGGCGGACGGGUGAGUAACGCGUGGGCAACCUGCCUUUCACUGGGGGAUAACACAGGGAAACCUGUGCUAAUACCGCAUGACAUCACGUAGGGCAUCCUAUGUGAUCAAAGGAGAGAUCCGGUGGAAGAUGGGCCCGCGUCCAAUUAGCUGGUUGGUGAGGUAAAGGCUCACCAAGGCGACGAUUGGUAGCCGAACUGAGAGGUUGAUCGGCCACAUUGGGACUGAGACACGGCCCAGACUCCUACGGGAGGCAGCAGUGGGGAAUAUUGCGCAAUGGGGGGAACCCUGACGCAGCAACGCCGCGUGAAGGAAGAAGGUCUUCGGAUUGUAAACUUCUUUGAUGAGGGACGAAUAAAGUGACGGUACCUCAAAACAAGACCACGGCUAACUACGUGCCAGCAGCCGCGGUAAUCACGAG